rnacentral:misc_RNA from 1 species
AGUACUCCGCCGCCCGCUCUG